rnacentral:rRNA from 1 species
AUGGCGUGCGUAGGGGAGGAGGAGUUGAGUUGGGAGGACCUCUUCUUUGACGAGGCGAAGAUGCUGGCCGCGGCGCAGAAGGAGGAGGAGAAGAAGGCGCGGCAGGAAGAGGAGAAGGCGCGGCAGGAAGAGGAGAAGGCGCGGAAGGCGGAGGAGAGACGGCGGCGAGGCCUAGAUCACAAGCGGGUCAUGGCAUCCAUCGUCGAGUACGACCCCAAGACGAAGCGCAAGGUCCGCACCCGCUACUCCUUCAACGACUUCUCCGUCUUCGACAUCAACGCCGAGUCGCCUAUCCCUCCAAUGCGAUACACCAAGAGGUCUGUACAUGGUUUGAUACUCCAAGACACUGCAAACAUACUUACUGUCAAGAUAGUAUCCUCGGAUAAAGGCUUCCCAAUCAAUGUGUAUGGCACUAUCAUCGCUAGAGACAGCAUCGACCACAAGUGCAUGUACCUCUUUAACCGCACCAGGGACAAUUGCCAACCUAUCAAGUCAAGGGAUGAAAAUCUGAUCUUAACUGGCCCAGGUCGAGGUCUGGUAUUACUUGAUUUCAUAUAUCUGGAGAUUGAUCUUAAAAUCAAGGUUGGCGAAGAGCCUCUAGACGAGCAAAUCAGCAAGGGUUUGCUUAUGAUUGAUGGACGAGUUCUUCCUAGAGACGAAAAGGUUGCUGUUGGACAGCAAACUCUUGAGAGCUGGUUUAGUAUUGUGGACGUGAGGUAUGCAACUCUUCUUCAUGCUGUCGAGGGUACCUUCGAGAUCAAGUUACUCGAGGGACGUUUCUGUGGAAAGAUUAAGGCUGGCAUCGAGGGCAUUCAACCUAGGAUUGUGGUUUAUAAUAGCAAGGAAGACGGUGUGGUGCCUUCUGAAGGCCGUACAGAUAUCACACUCCGGCGACGUGUCAUGACCCUCCGUCUGGAUGGUAUGCUCACACUUGGCUUUGCAGUCCGUGGUCUUGGUGGUGCUGCUGCUACUAGACAAUGGAAAGUUGAAUUCACACCACGACACCGUGGUGAAGAUAAAAAGGAGAUUUCUUGUGGUAUUGCCAGGCUUCAAGUGAAGGUCUUCUGGUCCAUGCUGGACUAUAGGCCGUAA